CCCAUGAUCUGAUUCAUUGCCUGGCUCUGCAAAUGCUUCCCUAAUGUUGCAGACUUGGCCAUGGGUAGGAGCAAUGGG
ensembl:miRNA gga-mir-1591 gga-mir-1591